CUAUCGGGGUUCGAUUAAGCCAUGCGAGUCGAGAGGGUUCGGCCCUCGGCGUACUGCUCAGUAACACGUGGAUAACCUGCCCUAGGGAAGGGGAUAACCCCGGGAAACUGGGGAUAAUACCCUAUAGAUUACAGAUGCUGGAAUGCCCUGUAAUCCAAAGUUCCGACGCCCUAGGAUGGAUCUGCGGCCGAUUAGGUUGUUGUUGGGGUAAUGGCCCAACAAGCCCGUAAUCGGUACGGGUUGUGGGAGCAAGAGCCCGGAGUUGGAUUCUGAGACACGAAUCCAGGCCCUACGGGGCGCAGCAGGCGCGAAAACUUUACAAUGCGGGCAACCGUGAUAAGGGAACCUCGAGUGCCUGUAAAUGCAGGCUGUUCAGGUGCCUAAAACACACCUGAAGAAAGGGCCGGGCAAGACCGGUGCCAGCCGCCGCGGUAAUACCGGCGGCUCGAGUGGUGGCCGCUUUUAUUGGGCUUAAAGCGUUCGUAGCUGGGUUGUUAAGUCUCUUGGGAAAUCUGGCGGCUUAACCGUCAGGCGUCUAAGGGAUACUGGCAAUCUUGGAACCGGGAGAGGUGAGGGGUACUUCGGGGGUAGGAGUGAAAUCCUGUAAUCCUCGAGGGACCACCUGUGGCGAAGGCGCCUCACCAGAACGGCUUCGACAGUGAGGGACGAAAGCUGGGGGAGCAAACCGGAUUAGAUACCCGGGUAGUCCCAGCCGUAAACUAUGCGCGUUAGGUGUAUCGGUGACCACGAGUUACCGAGGUGCCGAAGGGAAACCGUGAAACGUGCCGCCUGGGAAGUACGGUCGCAAGGCUGAAACUUAAAGGAAUUGGCGGGGGAGCACCACAACAGGUGGAGCCUGCGGUUUAAUUGGACUCAACGCCGGGAAGCUCACCGGAUAAGACAGCAGAAUGAUUGCCGGGCUGAAGACUCUGCAUGACUAGCUGAGAGGAGGUGCAUGGCCGUCGUCAGUUCGUACUGUGAAGCAUCCUGUUAAGUCAGG
rnacentral:rRNA from 1 species